GACGUAGGGCGCGAGCGUUGUCCGGAUUUAUUGGGCGUAAAGAGCUCGUAGGCGGUUUGUCGCGUCGGGAGUGAAAACCUUGGGCUUAACUCAGGGCUUGCUUUCGAUACGGGCAGACUAGAGGUAUGCAGGGGAGAACGGAAUUCCUGGUGUAGCGGUGAAAUGCGCAGAUAUCAGGAGGAACACCGGUGGCGAAGGCGGGUCUCUGGGCCGAUACUGACGCUGAGGAGCGAAAGCGUGGGGAGCGAACAGG
rnacentral:rRNA from 1 species